UAUAUAUAAAGUGUAAUAUGUGGACAAGCCAAGAGAGGGAGCUGUAGAGGCCAAAAGGGAAGACGUAGCCGUGGCGACUCGGACUGUUUAGUGUGAGCAAUGGUUGGGACUCUGUCACUGAUGGAGCGCACUUUACCCUGACCCCCACCCCUGACACCUUAACACACCUGACACACACACACACACACUAGGGUUGAACUGAUAUACCUGGCUGCUUAUAAGGCUUUUGUUAAAAAUCUGAUAUUCAGAAAAUACAAUUCAAUGUUUGCACUUUUUAUUUAAUCCUUUAAAAUUAAUUUAUUACUGUACAUCAACCAAUCAGAGUUCCCUUUUACAACUCCUAACUUCUUAUUGUGGCCUGCCUGUUUUGAAAUUAAUUGAAUUAAUUUAAUGGAUUACCGAAUAAUAAACUGUAAACAUUAAAGCAGAAGAAAAUUGAAUAAGACAAAAUAUUAAAGCAAGAGAACAAAGUAAAUAAAUUAACAAGAAGAACAAAUUAAAAUGCAAAUGUAUUAAAACCUUUUAAAUUAUUUUUAGAUUAGAUAAAAUAUCAAAAAGUACAAUUUAAGGUAUUUUUAUACUACCUUUUGUUGUAUUGCAAAGUUAUUAAUAAUGAUUGAAAUGUUGGCUACGUUAAUGCAUAUGGCAAGCAUUUUCAUUUGGAAGUUCAACCUAUAAUAAACUGUGUAGCCAAAAUGACUGAAGUUGGUUAAAAGAUUUAACUCAAUGAAAGUCAAAAAUAAUAUUAUGGCAGUUUUUUGGCACAGACAUCAGAGGCACAAGGGUUAAUAAUUUAUGAUAGUUUACUUUCUUAAUAUCAGCUAAGGAAGUAACCAUUGAAAAGAAAUCCCCAAUUUUGUUAUUGGUACUUUCAUCCUUUGUAUAGGCAACAUCAGCUGUCACAGUGUGACUCAAACUGAAAAAUAUUCACUUUUGUUUCAUUUCAAUUUCACCAUUCGUUCUACAUUUAGAGUCGAGUGUCCCAUAAUGGUCUAAAUUCCACCUUUAAAUUUGUUGCAGAUAAAAUCUUUACUUAUUAUUCGGUAAUGUUUUUGGCAUAUCCCAGUAUUGAGUAUUUGCAGCGUCAGAACAAAGAUGGCAGUAUUCUCUGUCUCUAACAUAUCAGUCGAACUCUAAAGCAAACACACACAGUAUAUGAUUAUGCGAGCCAAGGAUGUCCCCUUUUUUAUUUUGGACCUUUUCCUCUGGUUAAAAGCCAUGUAUGUAUAUUUAAAGGAUCUUCUCCUUCGCCUGUCACUGGUUGGCUGUAGUUUUAUAUUUCCGAGCGGUAAAAAACGACUAUGAAGGUAAAAGAAAUAUGAAGGAUGUCAUUUUUUUUUUGUACUAACUGGCAAAGGGUGGUUUACGGUUUAGUGGGUAGAUUUGAAAAACAUAGCGGUCAAAAGUGCAAAUUCAUGUAUUUAUUUUUUUCCUAAAAGCACUCGCAUCCUCCAUCCAUUUGCUCGUUGAAAGCUUUGGAGGCAGAGUUUGGCUAUCGUUUAGCACUAAGCCGGAGGUUUCAGAACGAGUCUCGAUCUUUUAAUGACUACCUCCCAAAUCCAACGCAGACUUGUCGACUUUGGGUUUCACCACAUCCAGCCAGCACAUCUUCCUCACGGGCAGGCCCUCCUCACCUCCCUCUCACCCUGUCACUCACUCACUCACUCACUCUCGGUUUGUUUUUUUUAAUCCCAAACACUUCUGUCCCCACUACGAAAGCUGGUCCCCAUAACGCUGGUAUACAAACACACACACACACACACACGCAAUACUUUUCUGUUUACUCUGUACUGUGUCAGCGCUGAAAUGACAACACGUCGACAAGUCAAAUUAUUUUUGGGUCAUUUCCAUCCUCCCAGCCUCAUUACACACUACUCCCAUCAUCCUCUCUUCGCUUCAUCUUUCUCUCUCUCCGUCUGUCACUCACUCACUUGCUCAUCCACUCUGUGACAAGUCUGAGAGUCAAUAUUGCUUUUGUGAGCGUGCGGCAGAGUAAAUCCCCACCCACCCACCCCGAGUGUUAUCACUUUGACUGUUAAGACUGUUGUACCCUGAGCUUCGAACAAAAACAAAACAAAAAGAAAGCUGCGUACGAAGGCCGCGAGCCAAAGGUUUGUCAAAAAAAUAAAAUAAACAAAAUGGCUUCCUUUGCGACACGGGACUCGUGGGAGUCUUGUUUGUCACGUUCUUCAGAGCAACACUAGGGGUCGCUGUAAUCACAAAACGGAAAGACAAUCGUGCUGAGAAAUAGUUUUAAGAACCUGCAUCCCCCACUCCUGGAAAAUAAAA